AAAGUCGAAUCACACACAGGAAAGUUCCGGAUUAAGAAUGGGUGGGGUGAUCCGGGUUUUCAAGGAAACACGAAGCUGAUGGAUGACUCAGACAUUCUUGACCUUGAAGUGCAUCCACAAGAAAUGGAGGAUCUCAUGGGACAGGAGUGGCCGAGUGAGGGUCAACAGUGUCCUGUAGAGAAUUGCAAGUCAAGACCGCAUAUUUUUCGGCAGAUUGGAUCCUAUAUCGCCAGCAUUAUCUUCGAUUCCACAAGAAGAAAGUUCCGCAUGAUUAUUGCCCUGCAAUCCAUUGUGGAUUCUUCUCUAUGAAAUUAAAUCCUCUACAGAAACAUGUUAGUAAGAAACAUAAAGGCCUUUAAGGUUGUGUCUACAAAAAAUAUUCCUUAAAUGAAAAAUUUUGUACUCCAGGAUCUGUCGUAAUGCCAGUGCCACCUGUAAACCGCAAAGCAUGAGACCAGGCAGCUAAGGAAAGGAGAUCUCGCAUCACUGAUUUGAGCUUCCUGAGAACUAUAAUUCCAGAGACUCAAAACCAUGUUUCUUUUAAUAUCAAGCUUUAAGUUGUUUUUUAAUCUGUAAAACAAAAAUUUAUUGUAAAUUUUGUUUUUUUUAAGGGGGGAGGAAUGUAGUGGUUUUGAUUUUUAUUUUACAGCCUUGGUUUCGUAAUCUCUAUUUAGCUAGUUUUGCUGGUAUUUCAGUAUGAUAAUUGUAUUUACUUUGAAUUUUCAGUUGUUACUUAUGUAAAACCCCUUUAUUGUUGGUUGUUUUUAAGUUAGGUCAUGUGUUGACAUUCCACAUGUUUUACUUUUAAAACAGGAAGUGUCAUCCAUGUUGGCAGUCUUUCCAUAGUACUUUUGAUAGCUGUGUUCUGAUUGGCUAAGUUAGUCUCAGGAUCUUUGAUAUUUAUUGGCUUCUAUUUUUGGGCCUAGCUAGGGUAUUUAAAGCCGUGUUCGUGUAGUUUUCUUCACUUGGGUUGGGGAACACGACCUCAUGGUUAGUUCCUCUUUACUGUGCAGGAAAACCUCAUGGUUUAUAAGCACUAUUUCAUUAGUACCUUUGUGUUAGGAAAAUCUUAUGAUUUAACAGCACUCUAGAUCUUUGCUUUAGUUAAUUGCAUGUUUUUCAUAAGUUAGUGUAGGAAUAAGCUUAGGAUGUAGGUUUUAUAAAGUUUUAAGUUUCCCCUUACCAAGUCCAGCCUGGUCUAAGGAUAUGUAGAUAACAGGUGUAAAUUCUAGAACCACUAUUUAUUAUUAUUUUGCCCUUUAUAUUUUUGGUGUUGUUUAUUUUCUGGGUCAGUUAUUUUUAGAGCCCAGACUUUACCUUAUUGUUAAUGUGUUGAUAGUUCAACUCUAGAGUGUUAUUGUAGAGUUCAUAUUGGGUGAUGUAGCUCAUCUCUCUUAUAUUUUCCACCUCACUGGUUUAUUUAUAGAGUAUAGGAUUUUUGAGCAUUUGUCUAAGUAAGGAGGCCCAGUAGGGACAUACAUUUUUUUUUUUAGUCUUCUACAUUCCUGCCAUUUUUUUUUUAAUUAGUUAAUUUUCACUUUAUUAAACUUAUAAAACUUUAAA